AGAGUUUGAUCAUGGCUCAGAACGAACGCUGGCGGCAGGCCUCAAACAUGCAAGUCUAGGGGGUGUAGCAAUACAUCACCGGCGGACGGGUGCGUAACACGUGGGAAUAUACCUUUUGGUUCGGAACAACGCAGGGAAACUUGCGCUAAUACCGAAUGUGCCCUUACGGGGAAAGAUUUAUCGCCAAAGGAUUAGCCCGCGUAGGAUUAGCUAGUUGGUGAGGUAAUGGCUCACCAAGGCUCCGAUCCUUAGCUGUUCUGAGAGGAAGAUCAGCCACACUGGGACUGAGACACGGCCCAGACUCCUACGGGAGGCAGCAGUUGGGAAUCUUGGACAAUGGGGGAAACCCUGAUCCAGCCAUGCCGCGUGAGUGAUGAAGGCCUUCGGGUUGUAAAACUCUUUCGACGGGGACGAUAAUGACGGUACCCGUAGAAGAAGCUCCGGCUAACUUCGUGCCAGCAGCCGCGGUAAUACGAAGGGGGCUAGCGUUGUUCGGAAUUACUGGGCGUAAAGCGCGCGCAGGCGGUUUUUCAAGUCAGUGGUGAAAGCCCGGAGCUCAACUCCGGAACUGCCAUUGAAACUGUGAAACUUGAGGAUGAGAGAGGUGAGUGGAAUUCCCAGUGUAGAGGUGAAAUUCGUAGAUAUUGGGAAGAACACCGGUGGCGAAGGCGGCUCACUGGCUCAUUACUGACGCUCAGGCGCGACAGCGUGGGGAUCAAACAGGAUUAGAUACCCUAGUAGUCC
rnacentral:rRNA from 1 species